CUCUCAGUUGGUUAUGAUUAUGCCGAGAAAACAUUGGUUGCAUAUAACUUUUCAGGUGACAACCAGGUUUCUUUAAUUAUGUGGAGACAUGCUGAAAAUUCACAACAUUUGAAUACCAGGUCAAACGAAUUCAAAGAGAAAACACUCGGUUGCUGACGGGUCAUAUGUUGUUAAAAGUUAAAACAGUACUACCCAUAAAGGCCCAAAUGCAAAAAAUCCAAAUACUAAAACACCUAAUGCUAGAACAAAGAAACAAGUGCAUCUAGCUAAAUUAAAUGCAGAGGAAAGAUUGGCAGGAUUUUGUGCCAUGGCCAAAGUGUUGUUCUGAAUAUUCUGGGACAAAAUUUGUUGCCUUGCUGAAGGUUGAUUCACCAUAGAGACAGAUAAUGGUUGCCCUUGGUUGGCUUGUGAUUGUACACCAAGCAAUGCUAUCAAGGAAGCAUAUUUGGUCAGUCCCAAGAAGUUUGAACCCUCGAAAAAUGAAUUUCAUGUUUACAAGUUCCAAGCCUCCAACCACAGCUUUUACUUUAACAAACCUUGGAUUAAUAUGCUUUCUUCAACUUCUUAUAGGGAUGGCUCUGGGAAAAAAAUCUCAGUCACAUUAACAAACAUUUACUUGCAGCAACACAAAUGGUGCCCAACCACGACCUACUACAUGACACCAUGAUGCCCCGAUGCCAAUCAUAUGUGAGUCACAUGCCCAUGUGGCCAUGACACUUGAUGCAGGCCACAUCUAGUGAAUAUUCCCCACAGUAACAUAUGCUGGUUGGGCAAUGAGGUUUGUGGUUUCUAUUAGUUGUCCUCAUUCCUCAUGAAUAUUUAUAUAGACGGUGUAGCUUCAACUAGGUUGCAAGUCCUUGUUGAGCUAUCUCAUAUGUGCUUCUACACAUGUUGAGACAAGGAAUAAGGAUUGCCACUUUGUGGCAUGGGAGUCUCCUAUGUCUUUCUAGCAUUGCUAGAUUGCAUGUCAUGUCAGUCCACACCUUUCUAUCAGCUGGCACAGCCAAAAAGAUAGCUUAGCAAUAGUUCAACACCUUCAGCAUAGUUCGGCAUGGUGUGUGCCUACACCUUUCUUAUGUGGUAAAUUUUGAAGACAAAAUGUAAAAAUCAUUCCAAUACAUUUACCUUUUCUGGAAAAUAAGCAGAAACAAUCCCAUGUUUAAUGAAGGAUUUUCGUAUCUCUAAUGGUUUAUCAACACUGAAAUGUUCAAGUACCUAACCCUUAUAUGAACACCACUCAUCUUAUUAUUAUCAGGUGACUUAAGCCAGUAACCAAAAUGCUAAAUGAGCAUCAAUACUAUUGGGAAACCUUGGGGAGUAUUACAUGUGCAGUGGAAAGUGAAAACAAAAACUGAUUUCCCAAAGCAAUCUUAUCGAAUCGUGGUGCGAUGAUCGGAAGCGAAAAACUCGAAAGCGAUAAAACAACGUAAGGGGUGUGAGACGUUCUCACCUAGGUGAAACCAUAUAUCCCCUAAUAUGUAGAUCUCGGUCCGUGGAUGAAGGAGCUCUCGUAAACUCCUCUCUAGCGGUGAUCCACACAGCGGAUGCGGCAACGAUGCACCUUCUGGUGCAGCACGUUCUUUCCUCAUGUUCGCGCACCACCAUGCCGCAACAACCAAGGAGGGGUCGAUCCCUCUUGCUAUCCUCUCGCACCACACCAGAGAGGGACAGUCGACUGGAGGAAGAAGCAGGGAGGAGAUGAAAGAGGUCGCGACAAUAGGGGUCUAGCUUAUAAUCCCUUUAAGCCUCAACUCCUAUAUAUUGAGAACCCUAUUUACUUACCAUAAUGGAUCCUGCCUUAAUGGGUACUGAAUCUCCAUUCAAUUAUCUUGACUUAAUGGAUAUUGGAUCCCUAUCCAAUAACCACUCUAAACCCUAUUGGGUCUAACCAAAUGGAUACAAGAAAAUAGGGAAUUAUUAGAUAUCUCAUAUUCAAUCCUCUACUCGUGCGUUCUCCACCAUAUGUGUAUGAUCCUCUAGGCCCAAUAUUAAGCUGGCCGUGAGUUGCACUUGUCAAAACUCCAUUUGACUCAGUGAAUUAUUAUCUCAAUAAUAAUUCAUCGACCAUUAUCGUAUUAAGCCACUAUGCCAUAGUCCCCAGACGUUAUAGAGGGAUCUAAUCUAUUGGACCUGUCUACCCUCAGUUACCGUGUAUCUAUAGUCUCUCAUUUAUCUAACGUCCCUGAGAUCGUAUAUAGAGCAUUGUGCUAUCAGGGCCAUACGAAAUUUAUCCGAGUCUUACUAUAAUUAGAUUCUCCCGGAGAACUCGUCUUUGAAUCCGAAUCUCGCGCUUAUCGGAUUUAUCACGAUCCGAUCGACCCUGGUUAGGGAUUUGCAUAAGUAAGAGCACACAUGAUAUUCCUCUUAUGAUACCGAGAGUGGAUGAUCUUCUAUUGACACUCAAUUGUCUUCAUAAGAUUGACUACAAUUCCCAAUGACCGAAUGUGCUAGAUUUGGAACUUCUAGACCUAUAAGUCUGGUAUUAAAGAAUGAAGUACUCAAACAAGGCAUCCUUGGUGUCUCAAGUCUAAGAACCAGAUUCACAAUCGGAACUACGGAAUCACUAUUUGAUGAUAAAGUAUUAUUAAGCAACCAGCAUUCCGUAAGCGGAUCAUUCAAUAAACUUAUUCUCCAAUGAGCAUCUGUACAGUAUCCCCACACAAGCAGCUAUGAGAUCAGUUGCCUCCAUCAUAUGAACAGGUAUAUAGCACACUGAUCAAUCCGAUUAUCUUGAUGACCCUCUCAAGUAACCUACAACCGAGAAUAUUUAGGGUUUGUAUCUAAUGACGAAUUAGUCACAUUAUCAUAAUCUAAUCAUGAUCCAAUUCUAAUUGCACAGAUCGAAGGACAUCACAAUAUAUUCAUCAUAAAUAUAAAAUAAAAAAAAUAUUAUAAAAAUAAUAACAAAAAAGAUUAUGUAGCGUGUCACAUGUGUCAUCACUUACGUGAUUGACUUGCAGGGCACCUGUAACUAGCAAACACUAGGUAGGUGGUAUCUAUUAUAGUUUCAAACUCACAUACUGGAAUUGAAACAUGGUUUAAUUGAUCAAUGUGCACUAUGUCAAUAGGAUAUAGUCACAGUCCCACACCUAUACUAUUGCAACAAACAAUCUGUAGGUACCAAAUAUAUGUGUAAAUUCUUUCAUCCAAAAUAAAAUAUUUCUUAAAUAAACCUUUCAAAAAUAUAUUUUGAAAAUAGCUCUUUUUAUAAUAUUCAUAAAAGAAACAUCAUUUUUUAUGACUUAGGGAAGCCUAAAAUUAAUGUUGUAAAUAGCAUAUUUUGUUUUGUGAGAAAUGAUAUUGUGACAAGUAGUUUUACUAAAAUCACUUUGCAAUAGCAAUUUCACACGUUAGAUUGGAACUAUUAUCAGAGUUAUCAUUUCUUUUGCACAAAAAAUGGCAUUAUGAUUAGAGCUAUGACACAUGUAAGACUGCUUUGACAUCCUCUAAGAAAUAUUUUUUAAAAUGGUGUUAUCAAGGGAAAAGCUUCCCAGAGUAAUUCCAAAUUCACAAGUUCAAUGAACCUAUAUCUCCCAUUUGAAGCUUAAAUUCUUGAACCUUGUUUCGUAAUACAAAAUAACAAAAAGAUUUCACAGACUUUGUACAUGAUUGUAAUUCAUUAUGCACAUCAAUAUUUACUCAUAAAUAAAAAUACAUUGAUUUUAUGGAGAACAUAAACAUUAACAAAUUUUGACCGAGCAGACUUAUUUUCAAGUAAGGGUUGUAGUUGCAUGAAGCCUCAUCUAGUUUAAAUGCCAAACCUCACCAUUAAGUAAUAUUGAGAUGCACAUCCAAAACUUAACUACCACCAACAAGUUUUCAAUUGAAUGAUUAUAACUGCGUGUAGGGACUGCAGAAUAUAUAACGUGAAAGAAGCAUAUCCCCCACAGACAUUGUCAACUAAUUAUAAUCAUUUAAAUGAACAUUUUAAUUAUGGAAUGGAAAAGUCAUUUGGGUAAGCACGAUAAUGUCUUAGCUGAUUAGCUAGCAUUUCCAAUCUAAAAGAUGUAACAAAAUAAUUUUGCCUUGUAAUAUUUCUGAGAGGAAUCGUAUCAUUCUUUUUACUAUUGCUUAUCACCGUAAGCCAUCAAUCAAAUUUAAGUGUACAAGUUAUUUGAUCCAGCUAGAAUCUAAUACGUCUUCCCUGUGUCAUACUUCACAAUUAUCCGCAAAUCACCAAUUUACCACAUUCCUAGAGUAUCUACUACUCAAAAACAAUAGUCUGUGGCAAGGUUCGUCGUACCACAACGUACCGUGUGUUGGUAUGGGCGGUAUAUACCGGUUCGACAAGGGACCGAUAUGAGUGGGACAUUCGUAUGGUCACAUGUACCGUAUGUUGGUAUGCUCAAUAUAGCUUGAUACAACUCAGUACAUAUCAUAUUGACAGUUUGUUGGUACACCAGUAUGGACUAGUAAAACGAACCUUGGUUAGUAGUAAGAGGACAAGAUAAUUAAAAAUAUAUGGUUUUAUUUCUUAGUAUACUGCAUCUUCAAAUCCAAUAUGCACAAAACAUUAAAUUUUUAGCAUAUGACUCUUUCAACUCUCCUGUAAGUCCUUUUGGCCUCAGAAUCAAUAUAAAUUGAUUUAUUUGCCAACACUUAAAGUCCCCUCUCUACAUAGUAAAUAAAUCAGUUUAGGGUGACAGCGUGUGCCAAAUGACUUCGACCAAUUUCUUUUCUGCACAGACUUUUAAGAUCCAGUGAAACAUUUGGUGGAUCACGGGAUUGUUCUUUAUCUAAAAGGCUUCAAAUGUUUAAAACUAACAAAUAAAAAAUAAUAAGGUCCACCUCUCCAGAAAGGCCGUCAUUCGAGAGGAGGCAGCUUCUCAGCCAGUCCAACUUGCCUAGCAAGUUAUAUUAAUAUACAACCAGCUUCAGAUUAUUAUAUACCUCCUCAGUUAUAUUAAUGUAUAAGCAAGGACAAAAAGUAAAUACUCGACCACAACAGCAAUUUAGAACAAUGUAAAAGAAGAUCAAUUUAAACAACUCAAGUUCUAGGUUUUAUAAAGUAUAAUCCAGUCAAAACCAUGACAAACUUAUCAAAUAAUAGCAUAGCUCUUGUCAAAGUAUGAACACUGAAGAACUUACAAAGAGAUGAAAAUCAAGAUACAUGAAAGAUCAAAUACCUAGAUGACAACAAGAUAAAAGAUGGGCACAGGAUGGUGUAUAAAAUCUUCAAUAACGUCAAAGUCUGGCAAAUGUCAUUUAAACACUCGAGAACCACAGAGUACACAGGACAAAAUAAAAAAGAAUCUAUAGAUUCAUUUUAUAUGAAAUAGAAUGAAUAUAAGUAGUAAUAUUAUAAUAUACACAAUACACAAAAGGAAUGAAGUAAACAAAAUUGACUGUGAUAUUUUGAAUAAAAUAUAUCUUAUCCAUAAUUCAGAAUGUCUAAUUUGUACAGAAAAGAAAGCAUUUCAUGGUACCUACCUGGGUCUGCAGAAUUUUGGUUGAGAACUGCGCUGUUGGAUAUUAAAGGGUUAAUUGAAGCAGAAUGCUGAGACUUAUUCUCCAUUGAAAGCAUUUUUAGAGAAAUUUUCCUCAAAUAAUCAAACUGAAAAAUUAGAAAGAAAAAAAUAUUUCAUACAGUGCUUACAGUUCAUACCAAUAAGCAAGAAUAAACAAAUAUAUUUUUUUCGAUUGGAUUCUGAAAGACAUAUAUGGUACAGAUCCAAAUUAGUCAUGCAAAAUGCUCAAGAGUAAUCUCAUCCACAGCCUAUUAACAUGUACUGUUUAUUUAUCAAGCUUAUAGCCAGUAAGCAUCAGGUUUUCUUAAGGAUGAAAUUAUAACAAACAACAAAUUCUGGUACUCGAAUGCAACAAAAGAGCUACUAUGGUGCAGCAAGAGAGUACUACAAAAGGCUAUCUUUUGUGCUUCUUCAUUUUCCAGCAUGUAAGAAGACUAUUCAUAAAAAUAUUAUCAAUAGACGAAAAAGGCAAAUACUAUCAAAACAUUGUCAUCAAACCAAAAUGUAAAUACCACCAAAACAAGCAACGACCACAAGGUUUCAAAACCCAGUCUGGUACUGUUUUUAGCAAAUGGUCAGACUAGCAUAGUACUAAUACACUGGGCAAUAUGCUUAACUGUACAAUCCGGUAGCAUAAAAAAAUUUAAAAAAUUUAAAUGCCAACUAGUAUUGCACCUUAGUUAGACCGAUAAACACCAGUCUAUAUGUACUGGUCCAACCAGCAUUUCAAACAUUGGUUGAGAACGCACCUAACAAUGGCAAAGCAAAGACGAAGAUUAAAGACGAAUUGGUUAAUUUACCCGAUCAGAAGCUGCAGUAUAUAUCUUCUCCUCAAACCGAGUAGCAAUUUUCUGAUGUUCAAUUAAGCCCUCGGGCACAGAGAUAGGCAGAUGCCUCUUCAAAGUUUCCAUUCUACAUAUAGAGAACAUUGUGCUCUUACAAAAUGAAAAUUAUGAACAGAAUAAAUUUUGAGAACCAGGAGAAAUACAAAUGAAUGACAACCACUAACUGAUCUACAGAAUUUUUUCCAAAAUUGCACAUGCUAGAGUGUGAACAAAUAGUGUAUGAAACUCUGAUAAAGUGAGUGGAAAAAAGAGUAAAAAUAUGAAUCAAGACUUCUUACGACUUUUUCUUUUAAAUCAAUGCCAGUACCAGUACAUACCUUCCGCUUUGUACUAGUCCAGUACAAAUCCAUACAAAAACAAAGAAAACAAAAACACCAAUUAGGCCUCACAAGUGUGAGCCCUCUUCUCGUGAGCCACAUGGAACCAAUGCUAUCAUUGUUGUACACUGUCACCAGUCCCUAGUACGCUCCCCCCUCUUCUCCUCUUCCUCCACGACCACCCCUUCAUCCUUCCUCCUCCUCCUUCCUCCAGCGCAUCCUCUUCUUCCUCCUCUACUGUUGCUUCCUCUUCCCCUUCUUCUUCGUCUUCGAAACACUGAUUGAUACCAAUGCACCAUGUGUUGAUACUACAUGAUAAGCCAGUAAUGAUCGGUACAUACUGGUCCGACCAACAACCCAUAUGGGUCCGGUACACGAUAUGGCAUUCCUUGGCCAACACUAACUAAAACUGGCAUGUGAUGGAAAACCGAGAGCAAAAGAAUUAUUGAUUAUAUCAACCAAGAAAAGGUGUAUGAUAGGGACUCCAGUGUAACUAGCAUAGUGACUAAUGACUAACAAAAAGCCAUGAGUAUACAUUAUAUGUCAGUAUAGCCAUGACUAUACAUUAUAUAUCAGUAUCUGAUCCACAAAAUGCAUGAUGGAUCACUUUUCAGUGCCAAACAAAAGGUUUAAACAAUUAUGUUCCUUUUUUUACAAUAGACUUACUCGAUAUAUUUGAACUCACAAGUGCAUAUUACCUUCCCAAGCAUGUUCCAAUGAGGUUCCAACAACGUAUAUUAUUUUGCUAAUUUAUUUAUUUUUUUGGUAAAAGCGGAGUCAGCCUAUGUUCCAAGUUACAAGUUAGUAACUACAGAAAAAAAAAAAUCUGUAGUAUCAUGAAAUAUAGAGCUAAAGAUAUGGGAAAAGAAUGAUGAAGCCAUUAGUAACGUUAAACAUAGAGCUAAAGAUACAAAAAACACAAAGGUAAGUUUACAGGAAACAACUAUGUACAUUGUUUACACUUUGAAUUUAUUUACCAAAAAGGAAAGCUUGAAGAUGUCUCUCAUAUAGAAAGAGCAGGGUAGUCAAAUUGCAGACAUCUCUGGUAUGGUGCACCCACCAAGUGCAAAUCUAAUUAACAGAUACAAACUUCAAAAUUUAGCUUCAAGAUAACUCAUGUUCACCAUACUGCUGGACAAUUAGGCAUAGUUUGUGUUUUUGUGGUAUUACCAGAUUCUCAUACGAUACAUCUGAUCCAUAUCCAUAUCAUCCGAGGCAAAUUCGAUUUUGAUUGAAUUCUUUGUUAUAUGGCUGCAUUAAGUAACUCUUUACCGCCCACACCGUUAUGGUACGGGUGGUAUUUACCACUCCAACUGGUAGCCAAGACUCAUACCACUCUUUACUGACAGAUUCAAGACCAGUUGAAGGGGUUAUAACCAUAACCCCCUUGUACAGGACUUACCAACUAAUACAGAUCCAUUACCAGGCGAUAAACCCACCCAGAUAUGAUGUGCCCCAACGAAACCCAUUGGGGGGGGUCUCUUUGGGCACUUUAAAAUCACCCACCAACCCCAACCAGCCCAACCCCCAAAAUCCAAAUCUCUCAAAACUUCAUUGAAGAUCACUAAGGGAGGUUGAUUUGGAACAUAGGAAGAUUGAAAUCUCAUGAUCUGGUCUGAUUUCUUUACAAAUUAAGAUAAAUCUGAACCUAAUCAAUAAUAUACUUUCAUGCAAUUAGGUUGGGGCUUAUGUUUAUUCUUCCAUUCUUAGCUUGAAUCUCUUCCAUUUGGAAAAGCAAUUACAACGUAGUUCAAUUUUCAUAAGAUCCUAGCACAUACAACCAAAGGUCCUUGAUAGCGAAGCAUGUUGUCCUCCCAACCCAAGAGAGAUACGUGACACAUCUAGAUGAGGAUUUCUAUGAGCUUAGAGACAGGAUUAAAUUAUUCAAAAAACAAAGAGGCCUGACCUUUAUGGUGUCACAAUGAUGUCGGGGCCAACAAAAAUGAGCAUCAUCGAUUUCAUUGCUUAUUUCAACAAGAUAGUUUUUCAUAAGUCACUUGAUGCAUCUGACAAGAUCUAUUAAGCGAAUGAUAAAGCGGCAAAUUUCGAGGGGACCAAUCAUCAUUGUAGGUUGAUAUGGAGACCGAAUUAUUCCUACUUGCUAUCACACACCAAAAAUGCUACCUAAAACAGUAUGCUUCCAAAAAAAGAUAUUUUCUUUUCUUUUAGAUCUAUGGAUGGAUAGUUAAUUGGUUGGACAAAAAACCUUAGUGGUACCUGUUUCUCAAAUUGGCUAUUUCUCCAUCUCCAGAGAUGUAUAAAUCCUUCACGAUGUAAAGUACUCGUUGAUUUGGAACUAUGCCUUAUGUUAUCUUUCAAUUCUCUCCCAAAAAUAUUUACCUAAUCCAUCCCCCUUCCCCAAUAAAAGCAUGAGCCUCUAUGGAAAUCUGUAUCGGCCACAUAGACAGUGAAAGAUGUAUAGGAAUCUUAACUGUAUCCCAUUUGAAAAUCCAAAGAUAUCAGAGAUCAAACUUUCUCCCCCCUCAACAGACUCAACGGCCUCUGCUUACUACAUGCAAUAAGAAAGAUCCCAUUUUGAAUUUUUCCGCACAGCUCCCUCUUAGUUCCAAUCAUACAAUCCACCAGCAGUUUACUAAUAUGAUAUCAUGUAAAAUUUCCUGGUCGGAUACAAAAACAAAAUUUUUGAGCAUUCCUCAGUCACAGCCUAUGAUCCAACAAAUGAAAUCGAGACCAGAACCCUGAGAGAUCAACCCUUUGGACAUGUCAUAAGCACGCGUAUUUGCAUAGGUGGUACGAUGUGAUCGAUUAAUGAAUAUCAAAAUUUGAAACGAAGUUGAAGUUGAUAGAGAGGUGACUAAAAGAAAAUUUGACUCGUUUCUCAAGGAAACUACGAGUUCAUUAUCGAAAGAAAAAGACCGUGGUACAAAUUACACGAACAAAAACCCUAACAAAAUAAUAACAACAACAAUAAUAUUUUUUUCUCAAGUGCUUUAGAUUUUUCACAUCCAACCCACAGAAGGACCUUAAUCUCACACAAAAGACUGCUAUAAAUUCAAAAAUAUCAACCAAAAUCGAGCGAUGAAAGACGCCUGCACAUCAGGAAAACCAAGAAAACUUUGAGGAAGAGGAAAUUGUCCACUUACAUGCUAUUUACAAUCCUUUGCCGCGCCUCCGGGUGGAGUUGGGUCCUCCAGUCGCCGGAUCCCCCAUCCGAGGCGGCGGCGCUCUCCCCCUGAGCGGGCCUCCAACUAUUCCCCUCCAUCGGAAGGAUCUAAAGCACGCACCACUCAAAUUGAGAUCUCAGAGCCGGGGAAAUCAAAGUAGAUAGGAAUCCGCAGGGAAAUCGAUCCGGCAACAACGAAAAAGUGGGUUGCCGAGGACGAGCGAGAAACGUGCGAAGAGCCGAGAGAGAGAGGGGGGGCGUAGAAAGAAAGCUUUGGGGGAAGGGAGGAAGUGCGGUGGGGGAUUCCCUUCAAACAUAUACACAGCAGCCGAGAAGAAAACUGCGCCCUCCACCCAAAAGAUAAAAAAUUCAAAUAUAAGAAAAUAAAAAUAAACUAAAGAAAAAUUAAGAUAAAAGGCAAUAAACGAACAGUAAAGUUUUAAAUGGAAGCAAAUAAAAAUGACUAAAAAAUAAAAAGUCAAUCAUGGCAAAUAAAAUAAAAUAAGAAAAAUAAUAUAGUAUUUUUUAAUCUAUGAUAAGAAAUAAUUAAGUUUGGUAAUUAGUAUAUAUUAUUUUUUUACAUAUUAAAAUAUUAACUAAAAUAAAUCUAUAUAACAAAUAUUUUUCGUCCACGAUCGAUGAACUAAAAUUAAUUUGAUCGAUGAAAGAAUCCUAUUAGACAUAUCCAAUAUAGUCUUUUAUUGAAACGAAAUAAGCAUUAUUAAAUACAAGAAUUUCAUCUUUAGCUACAGAGAAAUUCUCUCUCGAUUGUAUUCUCCAUCUCCAAGCACUACAAAACCGAAAUAACAAAUCCAGUCGAAUAGAUUACACCGCACUGCAUUGAUAAUCAAAAUUGAUUACACCAAAUCUUAAUUCCAAACUCUUGAAACAUCACAGUUUAUUGAGUUUAGACCAGAAACAUGAACCGAUUACUCUUAUAUCCCGUUGCCAAUUGCUUCUUGCUUCUCGAUCCAAGGCCCCACCUCAGUUAAAAGCUUCUUAGCAGCUACUUCUCAGUGGCAAUCCUAGUGUCUUAGCAAUCUUACAAAUAUGUGCAAAACAAGUUAGUGCAGCACUUGAAAACCACAAGAUCAUGCAUGAUAAAUGGAAAUCAGUCAAAAUUAGAAUGGAAGGAAACAAAAAUCUCUAAUGGAUUAUGAAUCUUCGCUCUCAGUUGGUUAUGAUUAUGCCGACAAAACAUUGGUUGCAUAUAACUUUUCAGGUGACAACCAGGUUACUUUAAUUAUGUGGAGACAUGCUGAAAAUUCACAACAUUUGAAUACCAGGUCUAACAAAUUCAAAGAGAAAACACUCGGUUGCUGACGGGUCGUAUGUUGUUAAAAGUUAAAACAGUACUACCCAUAAAGGUCCAAAUGCAAAAAAUCCAAAUACUGAAACACCUAAUGCUAGAACAAAGAAACAAGUGCAUCUAGCUAAAUUAAAUGACUAGAAUUUAUUGAUGAGACAAUCCUGGAGAAAGCUGGUGACGAAUGAGUUCCAUGUAUCAAACAAAUACUGGAUAAAUGCAUGAUAAUUGGAAUUUUGUAUUUUCCCUCUUAUAUGGUUUAUCUUUACUGCUGAAUUCAUCCAAUAGUGUAGUUAAAAGGAGGUAACGAGUUUAGAGUACUAUUCUGAAUAGGGUAAUAGAUACAGAGACAAAAAUGCAUCUUGUCUUGAAUAUUUAUGAUAUUAAGAAAGUAAAGGAACCAAGAAUAAAGCAAGGGCACUGUGAAUUGUUAUAAGAUUGCUAUGUCAAAUCUCAUUCUUGGGGCUAUAUUAAUAAAGCCCAUACAGCAACUAGCUUCUCACGUAAAGAAGGUUUAGACAUGUCCCCUUCGAUCACCAUUCUGAUUCAUUUAAUUAGACAGUCAUGUAAAGGACUCAAAGAAGCCAUAGCUAUAUCCAAAUAGCCAGACGUCAACAAUUUUCUUUUUCCCCUAUCUUGUGGAAUUCUGGAUAAGGUUUCCAUAUUCUGAGACAAAUCAUAUUCUUGCUUUUACUCAAAUCAUGUCUUUGAUAUUAAUGGUUGCAAGAACCCUCUUUCGCUCAAAUCAUAUUCUUCAAGCUUCAAAAAAAACGCACAUACAACUACUAAUCAUAUUCUUUUUCUCCUAUCAUAUCUUUGAUAUUUACGGUCACAAGAACUUGCUUUUGCUCAAAUCAUAUUCUUCAAGCUAUAAAAAUAAAGCCCAUAUAACUACUAAUCAUAUUCUUUUUCUCCUAUCAUGCCUUUGGUAUUUAUGGUCACAACACAAGAAAUUG
rnacentral:lncRNA from 1 species